UACGUAGGUGGCAAGCGUUGUCCGGAAUUAUUGGGCGUAAAGCGCGCGCAGGCGGCUUCUUAAGUCUGAUGUGAAAUCUCGGGGCUCAACCCCGAGCGGCCAUUGGAAACUGGGAAGCUUGAGUACAGAAGAGGAGAGUGGAAUUCCACGUGUAGCGGUGAAAUGCGUAGAUAUGUGGAGGAACACCAGUGGCGGAAGGCGACUCUCUGGUCUGUAACUGACGCUGAGGCGCGAAGACGUGGGGAGCAAACAGG
rnacentral:rRNA from 1 species